AAGGACACUCUGCGGAGGGAAUGGUGAGUUGAGCUUCCUUCUAUGACGUAAAGGAGGAGUUGCUCACAGAGCCAGGGUGUUCAUCCCCCCAAGUUACGCCUAGAAAGCCUUUACCCAGUCGGGAUGAAGACUUCUCCACCCAGCCACCCCACUCCCUUAGUCUUCCUAGGUUACAGACUCUACCCCUCCCCUCAGCGAGGCCACUUCUAGUUAUGGAUAAAAUUGCGUACUACAGUAGGUAGGGUGGAUACUCAGUAGACAUUACAGAAUGUGGUAAGAUAGAUUUUGUUUGUUUCAGAAGAUAGUCCUGUACAACACCUAUACAAACUGUCUCAAUUCAUUAACAAACGAACUACCGAAGGACAAGAAAAAGAAGGGUUAUGAAGUCACGCAGAGCCGGGCGGUGGUGGCGCACACCUUUAAUACCAGCAUUCGGGAGGCAGAGGCAGGCGAAUUUCUGAGUUCGAGGCCAGACUGGUCUACAGAGUGGGUUCCAAGACAACCAGGGCUAUUCAAAGAAACCCUGUCUCAAAAAAAAAAAAAAAGAAAGUUGGUUGUUUUCUAACAACUUUUGAAAAGUAAUAAAACACUGUUCUUCCCCCAGGAAAAACAGGAGUGAAAAUGACAGGUCUAUUGAGAUUGCAACUUCCCCUUUCUCCUCUCCUCUGAGACCCUCCCUCCCUCCCUCUCCUCACAGUCCCUCCCUCUCACCUCACCUCUCCCCCUCCCCCUCCCUUUGUUUCCAUAAACUAACAUUCAGAUGUCUGAAUGAAUGCUUAAUCAAGCCAACUUCAGGUUUAGGUCAGUAAACAAGCAUUAAUUUAAUGAUUUUUAUCUCAACAUCCCCAUGAGGUUAAAUGGGUUUUAGUACUUCUUUUAAUAUUUUUAUUGCAUUGUUUAUUUAUUUCCUUUGCAUGUGUGUUGUGGUCAGAGGACAAUUUGCCAGGAGUUAGAUUUCUCCUUCCACCAAGUAGGUUCUAGGGAUAAAACCCUCAUUCAUUGGGCUGGAUAGCAAGCGCCUUUACCAAUCUCACUGAUUUUCAGUACUUCUGAGGACUCCAAAGUAUGUGGAUGUCAUGUGACCAGCUACUUCAAGUUUCUGUUGCCCAGACUUCUUUCCAUGAUCAACUGUACCUUGAACUAUAAGUGUACAUAAAUGACUCUUGAAAUUACUUUUGCCAGAGUAUUUUAUCACAGCAAUAAAAAAAGUGGGAAGUCUUACAGAGGGAAACAUAUUGGGACCCACCAGUUUCUAAUUUCUAUUUAUACAGGAGAAAUUAAGACUUAAAUCCAUAGAUUUGUAUAAUGUGGGGAAAGAUGGAUUGUGACAUACGGAUACAAUGGAAUGCUAUUCAGCCAUAAGAAGAAGCCUGUUGCUGAUGUGCACAGAAUGAAUGUGUUUCACAGGUGUGGUACACAAAAGAAGACAACUGGGAGAGAGUUCUCCUGUGUAGAAGAGAUAAACAAUGAGAAGAUAUGCAAAUGAAAGAGUAGGUAAUUUCAGCUGACCGUUAAUACAGAGAAGAGAAAAUACUUAGAGAAUGAAAUACAAGACCAUAUUUUACUCAUUGCUGAGACCAAGUAUAUGAGUCACAUGUGUUUGGAUGUCAAAUUCUCCUCUGCUCAGCUCCCUCGUGAUCACAACAUCAACCUCUUUUAGUCUCAUUGUCCAGUGAAAAUCUUUUUUGAAACAUGAAAACAUGAAACCAUGUUUUACUUGUGCACAUUAUUUCCUCACAGAGUCUCUUGGAGAGGAUAGAUGGACAGUUCAUCCGCUCAUUAGGCAACAAUUAAGAGCACAGGAGUGUGUGCCCAUGGCGUGGUGAAGAGCCGCUUCCACUUCACUGCAGAUCCCAGUUCUCCUCACAGCUUGAACAUCUAGGGAGUUACCUCAUCAAGACCUUGGGAAUGUCUAUAUCUCUAAGCUCAAAGAAUCCUCUAAAAAUAAGAUUACAACCCCAUUGGUCACAUCAGGCAUAGCAUAGGUCAUAAGUGUUUAUGCUCUAAAACCCUGGUAAGCUUUUAGGACACCAAAAUAGUUUCUGUCAUCCAGUUGAUCCCCACA
rnacentral:lncRNA from 1 species